GCUGGGGUAGCUCAGUGUCAGAGCAUGUGCUUAGAAUGCACGAGGCCCUAGGUUUAAUCCCCAGCA
rnacentral:tRNA from 1 species